AAAAUCCCCAUAUUGCAUUUUACUUAAUGGUAUAACGGUUUAAGGGUGAAAAAAAUGGUUGGAGGAGGGAAUGGAGGAGCAAAACCUAAGAAAACAAGACAACAGAUCACAUUGUCUUCCAGACACCUUUGAGUUCAAUCCACCAGGAAAACUCUUAGAUAAGAAUAGGGGUUAUUUCUUCCCUCUCUGUACCAGUGUGUGUCCCAGAUCCAAACCCCAAUUCCCAGGCAAGGCACAUGAUUGCUGGUGGGGAUGGAGUCCACCUUCUGAAAGCAGUUUUAAAUUUGUUUCCGUACCGUGUUUCUUUUCUCUCUUUUUAUCCCCAUCAACUGCACGUGGGGAUUUCCACUCUAUUAGGUCAUCAGCUGACACUGAGUGUAUUUUAUUCACCAAAGAAUGAAUAAUGCUCUGGGAAGACACCCUGAUUUUGUGGCUGAGCAGCGGCAUCCGACCACACCAAGGUCCUUCUAGCACUGACCCACUAUAUUCUCAGAUGGAGGCCUCUUCCUUUUCCUGUUGCUGUCCUCCAGCAAGCAUCACUUGGGUCUUGAGGGACCUAAUCAAGUGGUGUUCCUGCUCAGUGCACCCUCUUUAUGCCCCAAAUGGGCAUAUUCCCUGAAAAUGUUGCUAUUUGCCUUCCCCAUGGAACCGGGCCAGCUGGACCCUAUCAGUGUUCCCGGUGCAGCUCUUCUUGAAAGACUAGAGAGCCUCCAAACCAGCCUCAAGGUGCUGGCUUCCUCUCACUACUCUGCUGCCUGCAAUCCCAGCCUUUUCCUGGUCUUCUGAGUUAUAGGACCCUCCCCCCAAAGAUAGAGGCUUCUGAACAUACCCUUCUAGAUGCUUCUACAAGAAGGAAGAGAGAGAAAGACCAUGUCAAAGAGAGGACUACAGUAUUCCUUGAAACUGGGACAAGAUAGAUCUGGCUCUUCCAGGAGUUGCUUAAAAUGAUCUUAUCCUCACAUACCUGGCUAGCAGAGGCAGGUGUCGGCACACCUGGUUCCAGGUAACUCCUGCUGGAUAGCUAGAAGGAGGUCAGGAGAUGUAAUAGUCUUUGUAAUUAACCUGUCUGCCUGAAUAAGUGCCACUUUAUACACUGUGUUCUGGAAAGAAUGUCAAGGUUGACACGAACCCUUAAUUUAUGAUGCGACUAACAUUUUUAUGCUUCGCUUUAUUCCAUGUCGCUCUCUCUUUGACCUGCUUUUGAAAAAGGUUCCUGCAGCCUGGAGAUUAGAAUAUGUUGGAGGCCAGAAUCUAAAGGUUAGAGCAUUGGUGAAUUAAUUUAGUAAAUUUUAGAGCAGUUGCGGACACAUAUCUCAGUCACAUGUCAUCAUAGAGGAUGAUGGUGAAAAUUCUGGACUGGGCGUUUGAGGACAUGAGUUCCUUUCUGUACUAUAAUUUAGUUCAACUGCCCUUUAUUGCUAAAGGCCAAAGAACCGGGCAAUAUGUAACAGGGCAUCAGAUUUGCUCUUGUCCUAAGCCAGCAUCAGUGAGUGUUGGCUGUCUCCUCACCUUCCCUUCUCCUUGGCAGGUGUCCACACCUCUCCCUGGUGCCUGGUGUUGGAGGGGAGGCUGAAUCCUGAUUGGGUUAAACCAGUGAUGGUGCUUUCAGUUCCCACACCAGUGUUUGGUGUAGGCCUAACCAUAGGCAUGUGGCACCUUUCUGGCCGGUGAGUCCUGAAGGAAAGUCCACAGGGAGGUUUCUGGAAAAGAUGUCUGUGCUAUGACCAAAAGCCACAGAUAAAGAUAUGGCAUCUUUUCCCCAUGGUUCAGGUCAGAUUUGAGGCCUGGAAUUGGGGCAGUUAUUUCGAGAGUGCAAGGGGAGCUAUGUGCACGCAUUGAGGGUGGCAGAGCAGAAAGAUGGAAGGAGCCUGGGUCCUUGUGAUGUGACCAAGCCCCCGAAUUAAUGAACUCUGGAGCUGCCCUUCUCUGGACUUCUGCUGUGGUUUAACCCACUCUGCGUUGGGGAGUCUGUUGUUUGCAGCCACCAGAUUGCUAAAUGAUAUACCUCUCACAUCAGAGCUCACCAACCAGAGAGGGACACAAAUGUAACCAGACCUCUUCCAUCGCAACGGUGCUGCUGGGGAGGCAGUGUGGCGAGUCUUUUUGGAACAUGUGUCUUAGCCAGGCUGAGUCUCGCACUUACUGUGCUUUCCUGCGAAAGCCCCUGCACCUCUCUGGCCCGGUUAACUCAGCUGAAAAAUGGAGAUGAUAAGUGUACCUGCUCCAUAAUAUUACUGUGUGGAUGAAAUGGUCAUUAACCACUUAGUAAGUGCUCAAUAAAUAUUAUUAAUUAGGACUAUAAAGCAGACGAGGGCACAGAGGAGGGAGCAGUCCAUGCUAAGGACAUCCAGGAAGGCUUCACCAAGGGGACAGAUAUUGAGUCUUGAAGUGCAAAUGGGGUUUGCAGGUCACGGACUGGGUGGGGAGGACAUUCAGGUGAGCAGUGGGAACAGUGUGCCAGAUCUUUCAGGAGCUCAAUUUCCUUUUCCUUAAAAAACAAAAAACAAAAAACCAACGCUUGGAUGUGUUGGAUUAGCUUAAUCUCCUUUCAUAAAAGAAAUACAUCUCGGGUCCCCUGCCUAGAUUAAACGCCACAUCAGAGACUCUCCAUGGCCCCUUCAUCACUCACUUAAGACUCUUUCAGCCCAUCCUGAAAAAAUUCACUCAGCAAGCCUUCCGCACUGAAGGAGGCGCCUCGCCUUGGCUUUGUUGAUUUCUUUGUUCAUCCGCCCAGAGCCUUCUCCAGUGUGCAAUUAGCAAUGCUGCUCUUCCUCAGCUUCUCGAGGCUCCACACAGCUCAUCAGUCAGAUAGAUGCUGACGCUUAAUUAAGCGUGUAAAGCUUUCUGAUUUCCUCAGAUGAAAGGUGGCCCACGAGUACAUCCCAGGUUUUAUUUUGGUGGCUCCUGCCAAGGGUUAUUAUAAAUAGGACUUAGUGCGAUGUGGCUGAGCUCUUGGGGUGAUAAUGUGUCAAGACCAAUCGUGGCUUCCGACAGCAGAGAUAUUAUCAUAAUGGUUCCAUCAUAGGCGGUGGGUGUUAAUGGAGGUGGCUGUGGAAAAAAAAAAAAAGUACUGCAGGCAGCGAAGCCAGGAUAGAAGUGGCUGCAAGUGAAAUAUCGGCUGCUCCUGGGACCUCCAUCAUAAUCAUUAGCUAUAUUAACCUCGAAGCCAUUUUUUUCUGCCGUCUCUUCUACAACAGACUCAAACUCAAAUAAAAAAUGGAUGCCUUAACUCCAAAUGAAAAUAUAUCCC